rnacentral:rRNA from 1 species
GAGUUUGAUCUUGGCUCAGAACGAACGCUGGCGGCGUGCCUAACACAUGCAAGUCGUGCGAGAAAGUUCCCUUCGGGGAGCGUGUAAAGCGGCGCACGGGUGAGUAACACGUAGGUAACCUGCCCCAUAGUCGGGAAUAACCCGGGGAAACUCGGGCUAAUACCGGAUAAGACCACGGCUGCUCCGGCAGCUGCGGCUAAAGGUGGCCUCUACUUGUAAGCUAUCGCUAUGGGAUGGGCCUGCGGCCCAUUAGCUAGUUGGUAGGGUAACGGCCUACCAAGGCUGUGAUGGGUAGCUGGUCUGAGAGGAUGAUCAGCCACACUGGGACUGAGACACGGCCCAGACUCCUACGGGAGGCAGCAGUGGGGAAUAUUGCGCAAUGGGGGAAACCCUGACGCAGCGACGCCGCGUGGGUGAUGAAGGCCUU